UACGUAGGGGGCAAGCGUUGUCCGGAAUCAUUGGGCGUAAAGCGCGUGUAGGCGGUUCGGUAAGUCUGCUGUGAAAGUCCAGGGCUCAACCCUGGGAUGCCGGUGGAUACUGUCGGACUAGAGUACGGAAGAGGCGAGUGGAAUUCCCGGUGUAGCGGUGAAAUGCGCAGAUAUCGGGAGGAACACCGAUUGCGAAGGCAGCUCGCUGGGACGUCACUGACGCUGAGACGCGAAAGCGUGGGGAGCAAACAGG
rnacentral:rRNA from 1 species